CAGUAGCCGCGGUAAUACGAAGGGGGCUAGCGUUGUUCGGAAUUACUGGGCGUAAAGGGCGCGUAGGCGGCCAUUCAAGUUAGAUGUGAAAGCCCUGGGCUCAACCUAGGGAUAGCAUUUGAUACUGUUUGGCUUGAGUUCGGGAGAGGUGAGUGGAAUUCCCAGUGUAGAGGUGAAAUUCGUAGAUAUUGGGAAGAACACCAGUGGCGAAGGCGGCUUACCGGCUCAUACUGGACGCUGAGGUGCGAAAGCGUGGGGAGCAAACGGGAUUAGAUACCCGAGUAGUCCCUGUCUCUUAUAA
rnacentral:rRNA from 1 species